CAGCAGCCACGGGAAUACGUAGGGUGCAAGCGUUAAUCGGAAUUACUGGGCGUAAAGCGUGCGCAGGCGGUUCGGAAAGAAAGAUGUGAAAUCCCAGGGCUCAACCUUGGAACUGCAUUUUUAACUACCGGACUAGAGUAUGUCAGAGGGAGGUGGAAUUCCACGUGUAGCAGUGAAAUGCGUAGAUAUGUGGAGGAACACCGAUGGCGAAGGCAGCCUCCUGGGAUAAUACUGACGCUCAUGCACGAAAGCGUGGGGAGCAAACAGGAUUAGAUACCCCUGUAGUCCCUGUCUCUUAUAC
rnacentral:rRNA from 1 species